GUUGAAUAUCUCAUCUGGCUGUUAUAAAUAGGUUCUGAUGUCUGCCCCUGUAGCUCACUGGGAAAGAAUGCAAACAGUCCCAGGAAUGAAUACUCAGGAAGGCUUCGCUGCCUGAAGGAGAAAACAUUUCCUGUGUCGGUGCUUAACAGAGGAAGACGACUGGUCUGCAAUGACCUCAGAAGGUUCUGGCAGUUUUCCAAAGACCUUAAGCAGAAUUAUCUCAAAGCUUCCAUCAACUCCAUGAGCCCUUGCAGUACGGUGUGGAACACCUCUGCAUUCCAGAAGAGGAAUGAUUGUUGCAAUAGAACAGUAUUUCUCUAACUGAGGAAGAGUCUGGACCUGUUACUCUUCUCACAUCCUACAUGAUGACUGCUCAGAGUCUCCACAGAGAAGAGAGUGAUUUCCUGUUUGUCCCUGCUUAUAUUCUCAUUCUGCCCAGCUCCAUCACUUCCUGCCUGUCUAUACAGAUCUCCAGACCUCUGUGGUUAGCUAAUGGCAGUUUCUGCCCAACUACAUCACUUCCUGGGAUCACAUGAUGACUCCUCUCUGCCUACACUUCCCAGAAUCCUCCUUGUCUCCUAGUCCUAUCUAUCAUCCUGCCUGGCCAAUCAGGGUUUUAUUCAUCAACCAAUAAGACAAAAAUAUACACAGAAGACAAAUUUCAAAACCAUGAACAAAACAAAUGAUUUAGUCUGUAAACCAAAAAGAAACUAUUGGUACAAAAUCUCCAGAAGCAAUUCCCUGCCUGGGUUCACAUCUUCUAAUACUUAUAUAUCAUUACAACAUUGGAUCCAGCCACCUGUGAGUCAUGUCAGUCAGUGUGCUUAUAGUAAACUAAAUCUCAAUGUGGAAACAUGUAGUCUUUUCUAAUUUUUAUGAUAUAGUUGCCUCAAUUUUGGUCAACUUCAAGGUAGCAAGUUGAACAUUGAUACCAAAUGAACCCAGCACAUACCUCAAACCAACUUACCCCAGUUCCAACAGCAUGUCAAGAGGAAAUAUCCCAGAGUGUCAUGAGGGGAUAUCCCACCAUCUGUAGUGUAUCUGUAUUCUUGAAGAUUCACGUUCUAUGUUGAAUGAGGAGCAAGGCAAAGGAGCCUGAAGACCUGGGACCGAUUGUGGGCAAAUACCUAUUCCUUGGACAGCCUCACUCAUCUUUCUACUCUGUCUUCCUUUUCUUCCUUCUGGAUAUCCUUUCCCCAGCUUCAUACAGUAAAGCGUGUGUCUCCCGGGGAUGGCUUCAUAGGCACUGCCAUCUUCUUAGAUUUCACUGCCACUUUCUCCCUCCAGUUCCUCUUUCUCUAAGCCCAGCCCCUUUUCCAGUAAUGACUCAAAGCGCACCUCACUCAGACUUUGGCUGUCACUGACAGCGUCCUCAGUCCAGUCCCCAGAUCUUAUGCUCUGCCAAGCCCCUCUCUGCUGAGACUACCACUUACUCAUGCAUGAUGGGAAUUAUUACUAUUUUCUUGAUGAUUUUUUUUGAGGUAGAGUCUCUUUGCUGAAGUAAAAAGAUCUAUAGUUUGUCCUGUCUCCAUUUCUUCCUUCUUCUAAGCUUAGUCUCUUUAGGCUCCUCCCCUUUGCCAUAGUGCAGUGUAUCCUGGUAGGAAAUAAUAUUCUCUCAAGCCAAAAUAUUCUCUUCUGGUAUUUUUUAAAUAUAAAGUUCACUUUAAAGCUAAGAAAUGACUCAAGCACCUCCAUAUACAAGCAUACUUCUCAUGUAUUUAAUAUUGGGUAGCUAAAACUACCCCAUUUGGGAGAACUGUUGAUGUGAUUUGUAUUUUUUGGAUCACAGUUUCUUACACAUCUGAAAGUUACUCUGUGUGUGGCUGAACUACAUGGUAUGUGUGAUGACUAGCUUGCUGCCAGUACAUACAAGUAAAGAGUAUGUGUUAGCUAUGGUUACUGGAUGUUGGUCUUACUAUAGUUAUCUCAUAACCACUAAAUGAUUUUUAUUCAACCAGACCCCUAAAACACAGCAAUGGGAGGGAUCUCUCUAAAACCCAUAUUUGAUCAGGCCAUAGAUACAAAUUGACUUAAGCUUUCUACUACUCCCCACCACUAAGAAUAAAAUACCACCUUGUUGCCUAAGACUUCAAAGGCCUGUACGAGCUAACCCCUACACGACUUUCUAGCUCUCCUUCUGGUUGUGAGAUUUCUAGACUCUAGAAGACUUCUUGUUCUCUUGCAUUAGCAAAUGACUAACUUUUCUUGGUCAUAACUCAUGAUUUUAGAUAACUCUGCUUCAGAGUCCUUCUGUAAUCACCAGGCUUAAAUUGUCAUCCUGAUACUAAAGUAAAAUAAAAAUUUACUUUAUUUUUCCAUACAGCAAUUGUAUACUUAUCAGAUAUUUACAUUUAUGUAUCUAAUUUUAACAUUUAAAUUUAGUUUUAAU
ensembl:lncRNA